UUCUGGUGUGUUCUCUUUUCCAGGUGGUUGGUGUUUCUGCAGUGUUUGGCACAGGACUGGGGGAGAUUUUUACCCAGCUUUCUAAAGCUGUAGAUGAAUAGGAGAGACUGAAUGCACUCCCUUUAUUCACCUUUUCAGAGAGUAUCGGCCAGAAUACGAGCGCCUGAGAAAAACACUGGACCUGAUGCUUCUGCAAUGGGUCCCUCUGAGCUAAUACUAACACGAGGAACUCUCGAUGAAGAGCAAGAAGAGAGGGAGAGUGACGCUGAUGGCAUUGACCACGAAGGUAAGGGAAUGAGGUCUAAAAGCUGCCUCUCAAGAAAUCCCCUCUAUAUUUCAUGUCCUGGAUGGACUGUAAGGAGAGCCUAGAAAACAAGCAAACAUUCAGUCACCUGACGUGUCAGAAUCUGUAGCAGAAGCUCAGCUGCAAUGGUCAGUGCAGGGAUAUCACUCUGUAACCUUUGUGAAAGUUCAAUUGUAAAUUUUCUAUUCAAGUAAUUAAUAGGUGUAUAACACACAUAAACCAGAGAACUCGUUAGGCUUGGGGCAUGCAGUGACCUCUGAACCUGAUUGAUGCACAGAUGUGUCCAUCAUCUUUUUGGCCUUACAGUUUCUGCCCCUGGCUCUCUUCCCUUUUCCUGUGACUGUGGUCUUGGAGCAAUCUUCUAAGUUGUUACAGUGUGAUUUUUCUCUUCUAUAGCUCACAGACUUAAUCUUCAUUCUUUCCCUGUUCCACUGAUGGGUAGGAUCACUUAUUUCCUUUGCCCUGUAAUGUAGCUGAAGAUGGAAUAGACUUUCUAUGUUGCUUUGGCUA